rnacentral:misc_RNA from 1 species
AAAGCAGGAAUAAAUUUUUGGAUGCUAACCGGAGAUAAGCAGAAUACUGCCAUACAAAUUGCUCUUUCAUGCAAUUUUAUUUCACCAGAACCAAAAGGUCAACUUCUAUUAAUCGAUGGCAAAACCAAAGAUGAAGUUUCUAGAAGUUUUGAAAGAGUUUUACUUACAAUGAGGAUAACAACUUCGGAACCAAAGGACGUGGCAUUUGUUGUUGA